rnacentral:rRNA from 1 species
CAAAAACAUUGCUUUCUGAAUUUAUAUAGAAAGUACCUCCUGCCCAGUGAAAAAUUUUUAACGGCCGCGGUAUCCUAACCGUGCAAAGGUAGCAUAAUCACUUGCCUAUUAAUUGUAGGCUAGAAUGAAAGGAUAAACGAAAUAUAAGCUGUCUCAACUAGUAAUCUAAAAACUAUUCACCACAUGAAGAAAUGUGGAUAAAAUAGAAGGACAAGAAGACCCUAUAGAGCUUUAUACUAAAACAGAACUACACUAUUAAAGUAUUCGGUUGGGGCGACCAAGGGAAUCAAUUAUCACCCUUAAAUUAAAAGAUAUAUUAAUCAAUAUAUUGACCCUAUUAAGAUCAUAAAAACAAGCUACCUUAGGGAUAACAGGCUAAUCCCAUUCAAGAGUCCAUAUCGACAAUGGGGGUUGGCACCUCGAUGUUGGCUUAGGGUAUCUAUGUAGCGCAAAAGUUAUAUAAAGAUGGUUUGUUCAACCAAUAAUUCCCUACGUGAUCU